rnacentral:rRNA from 1 species
UACGUAGGGACCAAGCGUUGUUCGGAUUUACUGGGCGUAAAGGGCGCGUAGGCGGCCACCGCAAGUCACUUGUGAAAUCUCCGGGCUUAACCCGGAAAGGUCAACUGAUACUGCGGGGCUAGAGUGCAGAAGGGGCAACUGGAAUUCUCGGUGUAGCGGUGAAAUGCGUAGAUAUCGAGAGGAACACCUGCGGCGAAGGCGGGUUGCUGGGCUGACACUGACGCUGAUGUGCGAAAGCUAGGGGAGCGAACAGG